UCUGGCCACAAGGCAGCAAACAACCUAGGAUGGAGCGCCAUCCCAUCUCAGGGUAUAUUGCUGAUGACAGAGCAACAUCUGGAAUAAAAAAGGUUUCUUCAAGAAUACCCGGAGGCACAUCUGUAACAGACACAGAGAACCGGGAAGGAAUCUUGCGUACUGGCACUUCUCAUGAGGUACCGGUAGUGAAUAACAUG